rnacentral:rRNA from 1 species
UACGUAGGGAGCAAGCGUUGUUCGGAUUUACUGGGCGUAAAGGGCGCGUAGGCGGCGCGUUAAGUCACUUGUGAAAUCUCUGAGCUUAACUCAGAACGGCCAAGUGAUACUGCAGUGCUAGAGUGCGGAAGGGGCAAUCGGAAUUCUUGGUGUAGCGGUGAAAUGCGUAGAUAUCAAGAGGAACACCUGAGGUGAAGACGGGUUGCUAGGCUGACACUGACGCUGAGGCGCGAAAGCCAGGGGAGCAAACGGG